CCAGAUGCUUGUGUGCACUCUCUCCAGGUAGAUCACCAAACUUAGGUAGCACUUGAAUGAAAUCGGGCUUGAUUUCAGCAUUUUGAUUAAUUGUGGGCAACACAAUGCAUAGAGGAUGAUUUCUCCUGUGGCGGCCCAACUCUCUUAUCAAUGGUGGUGGUGGCGGAAAAUCAUCACGGUCAUCGUCCCCAUCUUCAGACAUAUUUCAGCUUCAGCUCUAGAUCAACAUCAAACAAAAAUAAAAUAAAAUAAAAAGGCAAAUCGAAAUAAUAGGAAAAUUACUACUUAAAAACCGAUCCCCGGCAACGGCGCCAAAAUUUGGUGCGUCGUUUUACACCAAAAAUAUCCGGCAGUCAGCCGGUAUGCCCAC
rnacentral:lncRNA from 1 species